GUUCCUACGGGGGGCAGCAGUGAGGAAUAUUGGUCAAUGGCCGGAAGGCUGAACCAGCCAAGCCGCGUGAGGGAGGAAGGCGCAGAGCGUCGCAGACCUCUUUUGCCGGGGGACAAAAGGCCGGACUCGUCCGGUCCUGAGUGUACCUGAAGAAAAAGCAUCGGCUAACUCCGUGCCAGCAGCCGCGGUAAUACGGAGGAUGCGAGCGUUAUCCGGAUUUAUUGGGUUUAAAGGGUGCGCAGGCGGUCUGUUAAGUCAGCGGUCAAAGCCCGGGGCUCAACCCCGGCCCGCCGUUGAACCU
rnacentral:rRNA from 1 species